CCUACGGGUGGCAGCAGUGAGGAAUAUUGGUCAAUGGGCGGAAGCCUGAACCAGCCAAGUCGCGUGAGGGAUUAAGGCCCUGCGGGUCGUAAACCUCUUUUGCCGGGGAGCAGUGGUCCGGACGCGUCCGGACCGGGAGAGUACCCGGAGAAAAAGCAUCGGCUAAGUCCGGGCCAGCAGCAGCGGUAAUACGGGGGAUCGGAGCGUUAUCCGGAUUUAUGGGGUUUAAGGGGUGCGUAGGCGGUCAUUUAAGCCGGCUGUCAAAUGUGGGGGCUCAACCCCGGCCUGCCGUCGGAACUGGGUGCCUUGAGUGGGCGAGAAGUAUGCGGAAUGCGUGGUGUAGCGGUGAAAUGCAUAGAUAUCACGCAGAACCCCGAUUGCGAAGGCAGCAUACCGGCGCCCUACUGACGCUGAGGCACGAAAGUGCGGGUAUCGAACAGGAUUAGAUACCCGGGUAGUC
rnacentral:rRNA from 1 species